AGAGUUUGAUCCUGGCUCAGAACGAACGCUGGCGGCAGGCCUAACACAUGCAAGUCGAGCGAACCGCAAGGUUAGCGGCGGACGGGUUAGUAACGCGUGGGAAUAUGCCCAAAGGUACGGAAUAGCCCAGGGAAACUUGGAGUAAUACCGUAUGUGCCCUUCGGGGGAAAGAUUUAUCGCCUUUGGAUUAGCCCGCGUUGGAUUAGGUAGUUGGUGGGGUAAUGGCCUACCAAGCCGACGAUCCAUAGCUGGUUUGAGAGGAUGAUCAGCAACACUGGGACUGAGACACGGCCCAGACUCCUACGGGAGGCAGCAGUGGGGAAUCUUAGACAAUGGGGGAAACCCUGAUCUAGCCAUGCCGCGUGGACGAUGAAGGCCUUAGGGUUGUAAAGUCCUUUCAGCUGGGAAGAUAAUGACGUACCAGCAGAAGAGCCCC
rnacentral:rRNA from 1 species